rnacentral:rRNA from 1 species
GGGAGGCCCACCUCCCAAGGCUAAAUACUCUUGGCGACCGAUAGUGAACAAGUACCGUGAGGGAAAGGUGAAAAGAACCCCUGUUAGGGGAGUGAAAUAGAACCUGAAACCGUACGCCUACAAGCAGUCGGAGGGCUAUGCCCGCUUCGGCGGGAAGGCCUGACGGCGUGCCUCUUGGAGAAUGAGCCGGCGAGUUACUCUCUGUGGCGAGGUUAAGCCAGUUACAGGCGGAGCCGCAGCGAAAGCGAGUCUGAAUAGGGCGUAUUAGUCGCAGGGAGUAGACCCGAAACCAGGUGAGCUAUCCAUGGCCAGGGUGAAGCGGGGGUAACGCCUCGUGGAGGCCCGAACCCACUAAUGUUGCAAAAUUAGGGGAUGAGCUGUGGAUAGAGGUGAAAUGCCAAACGAACCUGGAGAUAGCUGGUUCUCCCCGAAAUAGCUCUAGGGCUAGCCCUGGGCGUUUAGUGAUGGAGGUAGAGCACUGGAUUGGCUAGGGGGCGUAUAGCUUACCAAACCAAAUCAAACUCCGAAUGCCAUCACUUGAGAGCCCAGGAGUCGGACGGUGGGAGAUAAGUUUCAUCGUCGAGAGGGAAACAACCCGGACCGUCGGAUAAGGUCCUCAAGUCUAGGCUAAGUGGGAAAGGAUGUGGGAUUGCUCAGACAGCCAGGAGGUUGGCUUAGAAGCAGCCAUCCUUUAAAGAGUGCGUAAUA